CCUACGGGAGGCAGCAGUGAGGAAUAUUGGUCAAUGGGCGGGAGCCUGAACCAGCCAAGCCGCGUGAGGGAAGAAGGUACAGCGUAUCGUAAACCUCUUUUGUCAGGGAACAAAGGCGGGGACUAGUCCCCGGAUGAGGGUACCUGAAGAAAAAGCAUCGGCAAACUCCGUGCCAGCAGCCGCGGUAAUACGGAGGAUGCGAGCGUUAUCCGGAUUUAUUGGGUUUAAGGGGUGCGCAGGCGGCCUGUUAAGGCGGCGGGAAAAGCCCGGGGCUCAACCCCGGCGAGCCGUUGAAACUGGCGGGCUGGAGUGGGAGAGAAGUACGCGGAAUGCGCGGUGUAGCGGUGAAAUGCGUAGAUAUCGCGCAGAACCCCGAUUGCGAAGGCAGCGUACCGGCUCCACACUGACGCUGAGGCACGAAAGCGUGGGUAUCGAACAGGAUUAGAUACCCCUGUAGUC
rnacentral:rRNA from 1 species